CUACCUAUAGAGAAGCAUCCUUGGCCUUAUAAGCUUUCUUGGUUCCAGAAGGGAAGUGAUAUAACCAUAGAUAGUGGAUGUUUGGUAUUGUUUUCGAUUGAGUAAAAGUAUUUUGAAGAAGUUCGGUGAUAUGUAGUUGCCAUGGAUGCAUGGCACCACAGUUUCGAGGAUUUCGCAGUUUGAUGGCACCAACCAUUGAUUGUUCGAAGGAAAAGUCUUUC
rnacentral:lncRNA from 1 species